CGGGGCAUAGCUUAAUGGUAAAGCAGCCGGCUUAUACCCGGUGUUAGCGGCAGAUUACCGCAAGAGUGCAGGUUCGAGUCCUGCUGCCCCGA
rnacentral:tRNA from 1 species